rnacentral:rRNA from 1 species
AUAGCGUAUAUUAAAGUUGUUGCAGUUAAAAAGCUCGUAGUUGAACGUUGGGUCUGGCUGGUCGGUCCGCCUAACCGCGUGCACUGAUGCGGCCGGACCUUUCCUUCUGGCUAACCUCAUGCCCUUUAUUGGGUGUGUUGGAGAUCCAGGACUUUUACUUUGAAAAAAUUAGAGUGUUCAAAGCAGGCCUAUGCUCGAAUACAUUAGCAUGGAAUAAUAGAAUAGGACGGCGGUUCUAUUUUGUUGGUUUCUAGAGCCACCGUAAUGAUUAAUAGGGAUAGUCGGGGGCAUCAGUAUUCAAUUGUCAGAGGUGAAAUUCUUGGAUUUAUUGAAGACUAACUACUG